rnacentral:rRNA from 1 species
AUACGUAGGGGCGAGCGUUGUCCGGAAUGAUUGGGCGUAAAGGGCGCGUAGGCGGCCCGGUAAGUCUGGAGUGAAAGUCCUGUUUUUAAGAUGGGAAUUGCUUUGGAUACUGUCGGGCUUGAGUGCAGGAGAGGUAAGUGGAAUUCCCAGUGUAGCGGUGAAAUGCGUAGAGAUUGGGAGGAACACCAGUGGCGAAGGCGACUUACUGGACUGUAACUGACGCUGAGGCGCGAAAGUGUGGGGAGCAAACAGGAUUAGAUACCCUGGUAGUCCACACUGUAAACGAUGAAUGCUAGGUGUAGGGGGUAUCGACCCCUUCUGUGCCGCAGUCAACACAAUAAGCAUUCCGCCUGGGGAGUACGGCCGCAAGGUUGAAACUCAAAUGAAUUGACGGGG